rnacentral:rRNA from 1 species
GACGAACGCUGGCGGCGUGCUUAACACAUGCAAGUCGAACGGAAAGGCCCUGCUUUUGUGGGGUGCUCGAGUGGCGAACGGGUGAGUAACACGUGAGUAACCUGCCCUUGACUUUGGGAUAACUUCAGGAAACUGGGGCUAAUACCGGAUAGGAGCUCCUGCUGCAUGGUGGGGGUUGGAAAGUUUCGGCGGUUGGGGAUGGACUCGCGGCUUAUCAGCUUGUUGGUGGGGUAGUGGCUUACCAAGGCUUUGACGGGUAGCCGGCCUGAGAGGGUGACCGGCCACAUUGGGACUGAGGUACGGCCCAGACUCCUACGGGAGGCAGCAGUGGGGAAUAUUGCACAAUGGGCGGAAGCCUGAUGCAGCAACGCCGCGUGCGGGAUGACGGCCUUCGGGUUGUAAACCGCUUUCGCCUGUGACGAAGCGUGAGUGACGGUAAUGGGCAAAGAAGCACCGGCUAACUACGUG